rnacentral:misc_RNA from 1 species
AAUGGUAAGCCUCUCUGCCUCAGGAGUAGCAUGAUACUCAAAAUACUGGGUGAUCUUAAAGAUCCACCCAGAUGGGUCACUCCCAUCGAAACGAGGAACAUCAAUUUUGAUUCUGUGUUGUUGUGCAGGUGAAGAAGAAGACGUGGGGGUAGAUGCAGGUGGAACAGGGGUGGGGAGCGUGGGAGGAAGACGAAGCAAAAUCUCAUUCAACUGGAAUGUUACUGUUUGCAAAGUCUCACCCAUGGACAAAUGUUGAGCCGCGAGCUUGAGAACGGCAUCUUCCAAGGAAGUAGGGACAUUAGAGGAGUCAG